AUUGAACGCUGGCGGCAUGCCUUACACAUGCAAGUCGAACGGCAGCACGGGUGCUUGCUCCUGGUGGCGAGUGGCGAACGGGUGAGUAAUACAUCGGAACGUACCUUAUCGUGGGGGAUAACGCAGCGAAAGCUGUGCUAAUACCGCAUACGCCCUGAGGGGGAAAGCGGGGGAUCGAAAGACCUCGCGCGAUUAGAGCGGCCGAUGCCUGAUUAGCUUGUUGGUGGGGUAAAAGCCCACCAAGGCGACGAUCAGUAGCUGGUCUGAGAGGACGAUCAGCCACACUGGGACUGAGACACGGCCCAGACUCCUGCGGGAGGCAGCAGUGGGGAAUUUUGGACAAUGGGGGCAACCCUGAUCCAGCAAUGCCGCGUGAGUGAAGAAGGCCUUCGGGUUGUAAAGCUCUUUUGUCAGGGAAGAAACACCGGCUCUAACACAGUCCGGGAGUGACGGUACCUGAAGAAUAAGCACCGGCUAACUACGUGCCAGCAGCCGCGGUAA
rnacentral:rRNA from 1 species